AUUCCUUGAGAAAUUAAUAUAAGUAUUCUUCCAAGUAGCUUAGCUGGUAGCAUUCUAGGGUUUUGAGAAUUGUGUUGAGCAUUACAUAUAUUGAGGUCUCCCAUAUCAUCCGCCUUUAUUUCUGGCGGUUGGGAGUUCAGAAGGAGCAGACGUCGUGAGCUCAUCUACCGCAUCGGAGUUCUUCUCCGGCCAGCCAUCAUGGUUAAAUACUCGAGGGAAUCCUCGAACCCCACCAAGUCCGCGAAAGCUAUGGGCAGGGACCUCAGGGUUCAUUUCAAGGUUCGUUUCGUUAGUUUCUUGUCCUGUAUAGGCUAGAUCUUCCAUUUAGAAUUGAUGAUUUUGUGACUUUGUGAACGGGCCU